CCCUGCAGUCCAUACAUCCCCGGCCCGUGCACCUUCUCUUCCUCCCCUUCAGAUAACACUUAUCUUCUCUGUGAGGACCUUCUCCUGUGCAGACCUGCGUCCUUAGAAUACAGAGUGGGGGGAGGGGAGGAGCUGUGUACUCAGCUGGAUGAGAUGAGGGGGCGUGGCUUAUUUCUCUCAUGCAGACAGAGAAAGAAAAAAAGCUGUGACAUCUUGUCCACAACAGACUCUGUAGACAACAGUAAAAGAAAACCCUGAACUACAGAACUUCCUGCCCAACAAACAGUUAUCUGGGCCAUAGUGACACGCUGAAAGACGAGAACCGGUCCCUCAUAUGUAAAGCAGCCAACCGCUUUAAAAAGUAACAAAUCAACUCCUGGAUCCAGUUCGGAAAUUCUUCUUUACACCGAGAUUUAGAAACAAAGAAAAGGUCCAGGUGAAUGGACGCCUCUCGGACAAGGAACAAGACAAGGAUGCCCCCUUUUUCCCCUGGUUUUCAUUGUAGUACUGGAGACCCUUUUAUCAGGGCUCAAGUCCUGCAGGAAUGCAUGGGAAUGGAGUUCCUGCAUUUUUUUCACAGCAGGAACACUGUUCCCAUUAGCAGGAGUCCUGCAGGACCUGCCCUUGGGUGGAAAUCUUGGGUGAGUUCUUACACUUUUUUUUCCCCAGGACUUAAAGAAUACCUGUCACCACAAAACAUUUUUAUAUUUUGUUAAUCAAUGUAU